GGUGGGAUAGCGAAGUGGCUAAACGCAGCGGACUGUAAAUCCGCCCCUUUUCAGGUUCGAAGGUUCGAAUCCUUCUCCCACCA
rnacentral:tRNA from 1 species